UGGACUUUCAUGAUGAUCAAAAUUUUAAUGCAUAGUUCAACUGAAUCUAAUGAAGAUAAAAACUUACCAUCAAUGUCUUUCACCCCUAUCUGACUAAAGUCUG
rnacentral:snoRNA from 1 species